AUUGAACGCUGGCGGCAGGCCUAACACAUGCAAGUCGAACGAGUGGAGCACGGGUGAAAAAUGUGUGGGAAACUGCCUGAUGGAGGGGGAUCUCUAGUGGAAGGUGUCGAUAAUACCGCAUACCAUCAGAUAUGCACCGAGGGGAUUCUCUUGUUGGUGGGGUAACGGCUCACCAAGGCGACGACCCCUAGCUGGUCUGAGAGGAUGAUCAGCCACACUGGAACUGAGACACGGUCCAGACGCCUACGGGAGGCAGCAGUGGGGAAUAUUGCACAAUGGGCGCAAGCCUGAUGCAGCCAUGCCGCUUGUAUGAAGAAGGCCUUCGGGUUGUAAAGUACUUUCAGCCGGGAGGCGUUACCCGCAGAAGAAGCACCGGCUAACUCCGUGCCAGCAGCCGCGGUAAUAC
rnacentral:rRNA from 1 species